AUUGAACGCUGGCGGCAGGCCUAACACAUGCAAGUCGAGCGGUAACAUUUCAAAAGCUUGCUUUUGAAGAUGACGAGCGGCGGACGGGUGAGUAAUGCCUAGGAAAUUGCCCUGAUGUGGGGGAUAACCAUUGGAAACGAUGGCUAAUACCGCAUAAUGCCUACGGGCCAAAGAGGGGGACCUUCGGGCCUCUCGCGUCAGGAUAUGCCUAGGUGGGAUUAGCUAGUUGGUGAGGUAAUGGCUCACCAAGGCGACGAUCCCUAGCUGGUCUGAGAGGAUGAUCAGCCACACUGGGAACUGAGACACGGUCCAGACUCCUACGGGAGGCAGCAGUGGGGAAUAUUGCACAAUGGGCGCAAGCCUGAUGCAGCCAUGCCGCGUGUGUGAAGAAGGCCUUCGGGUUGUAAAGCACUUUCAGUCGUGAGGAAGGUGGUAGUGUUAAUAGCACUAUCA
rnacentral:rRNA from 1 species